rnacentral:rRNA from 1 species
CACGUAGGGUGCGAGCGUUGUCCGGAAUUAUUGGGCGUAAAGAGCUCGUAGGCGGUGUGUCGCGUCGGCCGUGAAAACCUGCAGCUUAACUGUGGGCUUGCGGUCGAUACGGGCAUCACUGGAGUUCGGCAGGGGAGACUGGAAUUCCUGGUGUAGCGGUGAAAUGCGCAGAUAUCGGGAGGAACACCAAUUGCGAAGGCAGCUUGCUGGGACGAUACUGACGCUGAGGCGCGAAAGCGUGGGGAGCAAACAGG